GCGCGAAAACUUUACAAUGCGGGAAACCGUGAUAAGGGAACUCCGAGUGCCCGUAAAAUCGGGCUGUCCAUCUGUUUAAAUAACAGGUGAAGAAAGGGCCGGGCAAGACCGGUGC
rnacentral:rRNA from 1 species